GAGGCAAUAGCUCAGUGGUAGAGCACAUGCUUAGCACGCAUGAGGUUCUGGGUUCAAUUCCCCAUGCCUCC
rnacentral:tRNA from 1 species